rnacentral:rRNA from 1 species
GGCCGCGGCCUAUCAGCUUGUUGGUGAGGUAAUGGCUCACCAAGGCGACGACGGGUAGCCGGCCUGAGAGGGCGACCGGCCACACUGGGACUGAGACACGGCCCAGACUCCUACGGGAGGCAGCAGUGGGGAAUAUUGCACAAUGGGCGAAAGCCUGAUGCAGCGACGCCGCGUGAGGGAUGAAGGCCUUCGGGUUGUAAACCUCUUUCAGUAGGGAAGAAGCGCAAGUGACGGUACCUACAGAAGAAGCACCGGCUAACUACGUGCCAGCAGCCGCGGUAAUACGUAGGGUGCGAGCGUUGUCCGGAAUUAUUGGGCGUAAAGAGCUUGUAGGCGGUUUGUCGCGUCUGCCGUGAAAAUCCGGGGCUCAACUCCGGACUUGCGGUGGGUACGGGCAGACUAGAGUGUGGUAGGGGAGACUGGAAUUCCUGGUGUAGCGGUGAAAUGCGCAGAUAUCAGGAGGAACACCGAUGGCGAAGGCAGGUCUCUG